ACUCCGUCUACCCAGUGUUUAGACUACCUGUGCAGGACUCCCAAAUUGUACAGUAGUCUGCACAUUGGUUAGGCUGGGCU
rnacentral:pre_miRNA from 1 species